AAUCUUCCACAAUGGGCGAAAGCCUGAUGGAGCAACGCCGCGUGGGUGAAGAAAGUCUUCGGAUCGUAAAACCCUGUUGUUAGAGAAGAAAGUGCGUGAGAGUAACUGUUCACGUUUCGACGGUAUCUAACCAGAAAGCCACGGCUAACUACGUGCCAGCAGCCGCGGUAAUACGUAGGUGGCAAGCGCUAUCCGGAUUUAUUGGGCGUAAAGGGAACGCAGGCGGUCUUUUAAGUCUGAUGUGAAAGCCUUCGGCUUAACCGGAGUAGUGCAUUGGAAACUGGGAGACUUGAGUGCAGAAGAGGAGAGUGGAACUCCAUGUGUAGCGGUGAAAUGCGUAGAUAUAUGGAAGAACACCAGUGGCGAAAGCGGCUCUCUGGUCUGUAACUGACGCUGAGGUUCGAAAGCGUGGGUAGCAAACAGGAUUAGAUACCCUGGUAGUCCACGCCGUAAACGAUGAAUGCUAAGUGUUGGAGGGUUUCCGCCCUUCAGUGCUGCAGCUAACGCAAUAAGCAUUCCGCCUGGGGAGUACGACCGCAAGGUUGAAACUCAAAGGAAUUGACGGGGGCCCGCACAAGCGGUGGAGCAUGUGGUUUAAUUCGAAGCAACGCGAAGAACCUUACCAGGUCUUGACAUCUUUUGACAAUCGUAGAGAUAGGACUUUCCCUUCGGGGACAAAAUGACAGGUGGUGCAUGGUUGUCGUCAGCUCGUGUCGUGAGAUGUUGGGUUAAGUCCCGCAACGAGCGCAACCCUUAUUGUUAGUUGCCAGCAUUAAGUUGGGCACUCUAGCAAGACUGCCGGUGACAAACCGGAGGAAGGUGGGGAUGACGUCAAAUCAUCAUGCCCCUUAUGAUCUGGGCUACACACGUGCUACAAUGGACGGUACAACGAGUCGCAAGACCGCGAGGUUUAGCAAAUCUCUUAAAGCCGUUCUCAGUUCGGAUUGUAGGCUGCAACUCGCCUACAUGAAGUCGGAAUCGCUAGUAAUC
rnacentral:rRNA from 1 species